rnacentral:lncRNA from 1 species
CUCUGUCUCAAAAAAAGAAAAAAAAGAAAUACAAAAAGUAGAAACCAGGCUGCACAGCAGGAGGUGAGUGGUGGGCAAGUGAGCAUUACCACCUGAGCUCCUGUAUUCCUGUCAGAUCAGCCUUGGCAUUAGAUUCUCAAAGGAGAAUGAACCCUAUUGUGAACUGCACAUGAGAGGGAUCUAGGUUGUGGGCUCCUUAUGAAAAUCUAACCAAUACCUGAUGAUUUGAAGUGGAACAGUUUCAUCCUGAAGCCAUCUUCCCCGACCCCCAAGCCGUGUAAAAAUUGUCUUUCACAAAACUGGUCCCUGGUGCCAAAAAUAUUGGGGACCACUGUCCUAGACCAUAAUUUCUAAUCUCGUGGCUAGUGUGUUAGUCUUACAAAGGGAGUCUGGUCCUCAGGUUAGAUGGGGUUUGUUUCGGAAAGAGCUGUUAUCUUUGUUUUAAAGUAAAAUUAUAACCUAAGUUCCUUCCAAAGUUAGUUCAGCCUAUGCCUAGGAAUGAAAAAGGGCAGCUUGGAGGUUAGAAGCAAGAUGUCAGUUAAGUCAGAUUUCUGUCACUGUCCUAAUUUUCUCACUGUUAUAAGUUUUGCAAAGCCAGGGGCACCUACCAACCUCGAAGGAAUGUCCUUACAGUGAGGUGCACUUUGGGUUCAGUGUAAAAAUGAGAUCCUGGAUUUUUGUGGAUGUAGUUUCUCUGCCUUCCAGCUGUACAUGUUUUCACAUAUUUGGCCUUGGAAACUUCAAUGCAUUGUCAGUCCUAUUCAUUAGUAGGCUCUUCCUAGACCUAAGAGGCCCAGUUGAAAAACAGAAUAGACUGGCAGCUAUCUAUAUAACUAAAAUUGGUCUCUUUACAAAAGCUUGUGGCAAAUUUCUAUGUUUUUGUGUUACUUUGGCAUCCAUUUAUUGGAGAGAUGAGGUGUUCACACAGAGAGGAUUAGCAUCACAAGUGUUUUAAGCAGAUACUUCCAAAACAUGAGCUCUCUCCAAUAGCAACAGUAGGUGGCUACAAAAUUAUUACAAUAGUACCAUAUGUACUGGAGUAAAUUUUAUGCAGUUAUAAUUUAAUACACAUCUUUACAUUUGCUUACAUUUAUCUCAACUGUGAAUGGCAUUGUGGAUGGUCUGUGCUUAUGUGCAUAAUUUUUGACAAAUUUUAGCUUUUUAUAAUAAACUAGUGUACACCUUAUUGUAGUAAAUUAUAAAAUGAACUAGUACUUACAUAUAUUUUAUGCAUUCAUGACAUACCUUUUUAUUAUUUUCAAUAUUUUUAGGUUACAUGGUUCAUCUAAGGGUUUUUUUUUUCAAAUUAUUGCAAUGCUCCAAAAAAUUUUUGAUAUAUUUAUUGAAAAAAAAUCCACGAAUAGCUGGACCUACUUAGUUCAAACCAUGUUAUUCAAAGGUCAAUUGUAAUUGGAGAUACUGAGGGUUUUUUAACCAAUGCUUUAAUUGGAGUGUCAUAUUUUCAAAUAUGACUACUUGAGGGAUUGAGGUUGACUUUCAUGGAUCCAAUAAAAACCUCCUCGAGGGGGGCCAGACCAGUGGCUCAUGCCUCUAAUUCCAGCACUUUGAGAGGCCAAGGCAGGUGAAUCUCUUGAGCCCAGGAGUUCAAGAUCAGCCUGAGCAACAAUGGCAAAAUCUCUGUUUCUCCAAAAAUACAAAAAAUUAGCCGGGUGUGGUUGCAUGAGCCUGUAGUCCAAGCUACUCAAGAGGCUGAGGUGGGAGGAUCACCUGAGCCCAUGGAGAUCCAGGCUGCAGUAAGCUGUGAUCAAACCACUGCACUCUGGCCUGAGUGACAGAGUAAGACCCUGUCUAAAAACAACAACAACAACAACGACAACAAAAACAGUCCUUUGGAAAAACUGGUCUGGUACUUUAUCUACAUGUUUCCUUUACAGAAUUUCUGACUGUGGUUCGUCUUAAACUCCUGGGCUCAAGUAAUACUCCCACCUGGGCCUCUCAAAGUGCUGGGAUUGCAGGCAUGAGCCAGCACACCCAGCUCCAGUGCUACUGUGCGUCAGGCCUAGGAACCUCAGGAUAUUUUGAAGACCUUAAGAAGAAAGAAAUGCAUCCAAUUUAUACAGGUCACUUCAUCUCAUCAUUUUGAAAAUGAUUUAUGACUCUAGAAUUCCAUUUAGAAGAACUCUCAUUCAAAUGCAGAAAAGAAAGGGAGCCCAAAGGGAAGAUAGAAGUGACUCACUGACAUAAAAUAGGCUGAGAAACAGUUACGUGAGUAAUGCAUAAUGAAAUUGUGUGAAUAUAAAGUGCAAGUGGAAAACUAUUAAAUUAUAUAAAUAAAAAAUAGUUAUAUCCAGAUUAUAUGCAUCUGUCUAUAUCUAAAUGGGUGAAAUAAUGCACUGACAUAAUAAGAAGUAAUAGUUAUAAUUUGGAAAAUAAAAGAGUAUACCAUACAAUAUAUUCUAGGGAAAAUAAUAGCAAUGAAAGACAAUGAUGACUUUUUGUAUGUAUACCCACAAAUAAUCUAUAUUUCAAGUAUUAAGACA